UGAGUGCCAGGUCCCCAACGCGCGCUGCUCAUAUCUACGCUUUCAGCGCGGAAGUGAUGGAAAAACGGUCCUCUGCCCUUGGAUCUCUGCGAUUCCGAAGGGCAAUAUACAGUAAUUACAUCGAAAUGAAGCUUCACUCCAGAUACAACUAUCACGGAAUGUACAAAGAAUGAAAUGAGAGACUGGAUCGCAAAUGCUAAAUUGUUUCCAUCCAACCCGACUGUAUCAUCUAAAAAACCAUGGGUCACACUUGUGGGAGCAGCAGAGACAGCGAGCUGCAUGUGACUCGGGAUGGAGACAUAUAUUCUUUUGAACCAGAACGUUUGGGAGAAAUGGCUUCACAGGGGUUUCUGAUUGGUUAGGUUUAUGACCAGAGAAGACCCCAACUAUGGCCCCUUGCUAGUGAGCGUGAAUGGGAUGGCAGGCGCUGACACACCCCACACGUACUGGGAGCUCCUGGGUCAGACCGAGGAUGGUGUUCCAGAACCGGUGAACAAGUCAUCCUGAAUUUCACCAAAUGGCGAC